rnacentral:snoRNA from 2 species
GUAAUUAGUUCAUAGAAUCAUUUCUAUAGUAAACGUCUUCUUCUGAGCUUCUCAAAAAAGCCACAGAACUCCAAUCUCGACGAUGAUUUGAACCUCGAUAGCUCAAAGUGAAACCGUGGCCCUCGAACUGUCUGCGAAGACGGCGGUGCAGGUGAAAGCCGGCACUGUAAAGAGGGUGGUGAUGAUCUUAGCUCUUUGAGAUGAUGCUUUGAGUGUUGUUCCAAAGGCGGCUAUCGAUGGAAGUCUGAGGGAC